AGUGAACGCUGGCGGUAGGCCUAACACAUGCAAGUCGAACGGCAGCACAGUAAGAGCUUGCUCUUACGGGUGGCGAGUGGCGGACGGGUGAGGCAUACAUCGGAAUCUACUUUUUCGUGGGUGAUAACGUAGGGAAACUUACGCUAAUACCGCAUACGACCUACGGGUGAAAGCAGGGGAUCUUCGGACCUUGCGCGAUUCAAUGAGCCGAUGUCGGAUUAGCUAGUUGGCGGGGUAAAGGCCCACCAAGGCGACGAUACGUAGCUGGCCUGAGAGGAUGAUCAGCCACACUGGAACUGAGACACGGUCCAGACUCCUACGGGAGGCAGCAGUGGGGAAUAUUGGACAAUGGGCGCAAGCCUGAUCCAGCCAUACCGCGUGAGUGAAGAAGGCCUUCGGGUUGUAAAGCCCUUUUGUUGGGAAAGAAAAGCAGCAGGUUAAUACCCCGCUGUUCUGACGGUACCCAAAGAAUAAGCACCGGCUAACUUCGUG
rnacentral:rRNA from 1 species